AGGAGAUGGAUUGGAAGAAUGUGGAGGGGAACACUUAUAACAGCUGAUUACAUAAUUUAUUUUCCCAGAGCUGAGCUGGAAACACAGCAAAAGAGCUUGUCUAGUUCUUGUCAGUUCUUCCCAGAGUCAGCAACUGAGGAAAACUGUAUAAAGAAGGACAGAAGAAGGGAAAUCUGGGCUGUUUACAUUCCUACUGAUUGUACCAGCUAGGACCAGUCACACUAUCUCCCUUUGACUUCAUAUUUUGCUCUGCUGAAGAUAAACAUCUAAUCUAAAGCAAUUAGUCUGUGGAAGAUGCUGCAGUGCACAACGGAAGGAGCCAGCUAAAAGCUUCUCAGUAGUGGAGACAACAUUAAAUUUUGUUGCCAACACCCUUAAGAGGCUGGGACCAGACUACUAAAGGAAAGCAAGUUAGUUAGGGUCAAUCAGGGGAUGCAACUUGGGUUGCUGUAAGGUGCAGAAGCUGCCUUCCUGCAGACCUCACCACCUCCCUUGACACUAGCAGCAGCCAGCAUAGCUCUCAAAGGCUUUGGCAGGAAGGGAGUAACAAUUUUGCUGUGCCCA